UACAGAGGUCCCAAGCGUUGUUCGGAUUCAUUGGGCGUAAAGAGCUCGUAGGCGGCUUGUUGCGUCGGCUGUGAAAACCCAUGGCUCAACCGUGGGCUUGCAGCCGAUACGGGCAGGCUAGAGUUCGGUAGGGGAGACUGGAAUUCCUGGUGUAGCGGUGAAAAUGCGCAGAUAUCAGGAGGAACACCGGUGGCGAAGGCGGGUCUCUGGGCCGAUACUGACGCUGAGGAGCGAAAGCGUGGGGAGCGAACAGG
rnacentral:rRNA from 1 species